AUGGACGGAGAUCGACGGUUGCCGCCGGCUGCCACGCUCGCAUCGGCGGCGGCGGUGCUUGGCAACAACGACCUCCUGCGCGAGAUCCUCCUCCGCCUCGGCUUCCCCACCUGCCUCGUCCAUGCCGCCCUCGUCUCCAAGCGGUGGCUCCACCACGCCUCCAACCCGGCCUUCCUCCGCCACUUCCGUGAGCGCAACCCACCCCGCGUCCUCGGCGUUUUCGCCUGCUACCCCGGAACACCGUACAAGUUCCUGCCGCUUCUACAGCCCCCGGAGCUCGCCGCCCUCUCACGCCGUGCGGCCUCCUCCUUCGACGGCGCCUUCACCGCCAACACAUACCAGCGUGUCGUGCACUGCCGGAACAGCCGCCUCAUCACCGUGUUCUUGCACGAGGGAACAUACAGGCACUCCCUCCUCGAGCCGCUGCUCGCUGGGGAGUCCGAAGCGGUCCUCCCACAGACCCCGCUGCCCCGCCAUCUCCCGCCGGCUCAUACACAAGGGGUAUUCUCUCAGACUUUCCUGCCCGAGGAUGGGGGCCGCGACGGCAUCACCUUGGUGAGUCUGUGGAAGGUCUGGAGAGAAGUCCGUGCGGAAGUGUGCGUGCUGGGAUCUGGCGGAUGGGGCGUCCCUACCACCGCCGUGACAGAGGUAGAUCUCCCGUAUGCUGAAACCAACUUUAUAGAAAUGCUACCACCCGUCCAUGGCAAGGUCUUCAUGGUGACCGGCUUUGGGUACACCCUGGGUCUAGAUUUGGCCACGUCAAACUUCUUCACCCUUGAGCUACCAGUUGGAGUGCGGAGCAACUAUAUGCUUUCAUGUGCGGAGGGUUCCGGGAUCUAUCUUUUCAGUGCAGAUGGGUUUCAUCUCAGUGUGUGGCUCCAUGGGAUGAUGGGCAACAGCGAUGGUGCAGGCGGCUGGCUGCUGGUGGACACAUUUUGUGUCCGAUGUUCUGCUGGUCACGAUUGGGUUUGGAUGGCACAAGAUGGUGAUUUUCUUGGUGUUGCUGCAGUCGAGGACAAUGCUGAGUUUGUAUUCUUGGAUUAUGCGAGAUAUGGUGUUGUCCUCUAUGUUCAUCUGAGAAGCAGGGUAGUUGAGAAGGUGCACGAGCAGGCACUGCUUAAUCAUCAUUUUAUUCGUCCGGACCACAUACAUAUAUCUUCCUUUAUGAUGAUCUGGCCACCUAUUUUUCCUGCAUUGAACGGGCGACAUGAUCAAAAGUAA
rnacentral:rRNA from 1 species